UACGGGGAGGUGAAGCGUUAAUCGGAAUUACUGGGCGUAAAGCGCGCGUAGGUGGUUUGAUAAGCGAGAUGUGAAAGCCCCGGGCUUAACCUGGGAACGGCAUUUCGAACUGUCAGGCUAGAGUAUGGUAGAGGAGUGUGGAAUUUCCUGUGUAGCGGUGAAAUGCGUAGAUAUAGGAAGGAACACCAGUGGCGAAGGCGGCACUCUGGACCAAUACUGACACUGAGGUGCGAAAGCGUGGGGAGCAAACAGGAUUAGAUACCCCCGUAUC
rnacentral:rRNA from 1 species